GCCUUUAUAGCUCAGUGGUAGAGCGUUGCACUUGUAAUGCAAAGGUCCAUAGUUCAAUCCUGUGUGGAGGCA
rfam:Fusarium poae strain 2516 chromosome FPOA_1 Chr1, whole genome shotgun sequence.